rnacentral:rRNA from 1 species
UACGGAGGGUGCAAGCGUUGUCCGGAAUUACUGGGCGUAAAGCGCGCGCAGGCGGCCCGCGAGGUGUCACGUGAAAGCCCCGGGCUCAACCCGGGAGGGUCGUGGCAAACCGGCGGGCUUGAGGCCGGUAGAGGUGGGUGGAACUCCUGGUGGAGUGGUGAAAUGCGUAGAGAUCAGGAAGAACACCCGUGGCGAAGGCGGCCCACUGGGCCGGUACUGACGCUGAGGAGCGAAAGCGUGGGGAGCAAACAGG